GUUUUUAAAUGUAUUCUUUAUAUUUUCAAUUUCAUUCCUGUGUCACUUUCCUGGAAAAUCACUAAUAAUAAAAAAAAACCAUGCAACCAAGAGGAACAAUUCAGUGGGCCCUUGAUAUCCAUUGGUGUUCACCUCCAAGAUCCUCGUGGAUACCAAAAUCCAUGAAUGGCCCUUAUACAUACAAUGGUGCAGUAAAAUAGUGUUCUUUAUACAAAAUGGAAAAAUUAAAGAUUUUUAAUUUAAAUAUUUUCAAGCCAUGGAUGGUUGAAUCUGUGGAUACAGAAUCUAGGGAUAUUGAGAGCCAACUUUAAAAGGUAACACAUCAACUUAUUUUGGGGAACCUAUUAAGUGUAACCAUGUACCUCUAUAUAAAGGAAGUCUUACAUGCUCAGAAGACAUUCCUGUUGUUCCUGCAGAUGUACUUUCUCAUGGCUGUUUGAGUGAUCUAUUGGUACAAUUUUUCUUCUAGUUGCAACAGGAAGGACUAGAAAAUUGUUCCAUAACAUCCUGUGAGCAUCUGAAACAUGGGUCACAGGCAUAGCAAGUGGUCAGUACAUUCCAAGCAGAAAAAGACUUUUGCUUCUUCUAACAAGUACAAAGAUAUAGCACCUUCUUGUUCUCCUUAUGCACUGGAGUCACAGAAUGCUUCAGUGAACACCAUGGAAAAUGAUUAUCUUGUGCAAACUAGAGGACAGCCUAAGGAUUUAGAAGGUUAUCACAAUAUUUCACUGUUGACUCAAGAAGCCAUACCUGUUCAACAAAUCUCUGAACCGAUCAUAGAAGAGGCACAAGAAGCAAAUCCUACUGAAUUGGGGCCUCCAUAUAUAAGAGCUCCCUUCCUUUCGGUAGAUGACGAUCAGAACCUACCUAAUGAUUUGGCUUUGGAGGAAUCAGGACUUUACAUAGAAAUAGCUGAUGAGCCGACUGAAAAUGUGGAAGAGGCUGAAAUGACCAAGAUAACUAUCUGGACCAUAGAUGAUGUGGAUUGGGAUGAUGAAGUCAAAAUAGAACUGGAAGAGCAUCCUGAGAGUGUGUUUAAGAUGAAAGGUCAUAAAGACUCAAAGGUUUACUCUAGAAAAAUGUGUUCUUCCAUGUAGGGUCUGUGGUGUAGCUAGGAGAAGAUGCUAAGUGCCUUCAAAAUAUCACCGAGAGCUCAGAUCUUAGGAACCUUCCAUAUUUGACCUGAGAUGAUCCUAGAUUAGAAGCCCAAAUGAUGUUGAUAUUCAUCCUGGAAGAGAUUGUGGGAAAAGUGUUAACAAUGACUUGGUGAGACAGCAUCUCUACUACUAAAACUAGCUAGUCUACUUAGCCUUCCAGCCAGUCAGUUCUUUUACUUAUUUUUCUAUAAUGAUUUUAAAACACAGCCAUGAAUGAGAUAUAUUUCCCUUUGCUUUUAGAGGGAAAGACAUAGUUUCUCUUGAGCUAAGACAAGAGGUUACAUUACAGUCGUCUAAUUGUUGUUGAAAUGCAACUCGUAGCACCUUUAGAUGGUAAAGCCAAUGUGAGGAAUGCUGGGAGUUGUAGUUCAACACAUCUAGUUGGUGUGUAAUUCUUGUGCCUUGCUUAAUAACAUGCUUUCUUGUUGCAUAAAAUAAGUGCUAGAUAUUUUGAUACUAAAGAAUGUGCCCUCACUUGGCUGGAUGCUUUAAUAUCUGGUCUGUGUAACUUUCCCAAACCAGUCGCUGAUUAAUUUGAAACAGAGCUUUUUUAACUAUCUGUCAAUAAAUGCUAUUUUAAAGGUUA